ensembl:antisense C130080G10Rik RIKEN cDNA C130080G10 gene
AGAGCUUCUCAACCAUGUUUGGGAUGGUCUAGGGAUGAAACUGCUGGACAGCUGAGCCAUGGAGACUGGGGAGAGGCCUGCCUGGCUGAGACCAAGCCCUGCUGUACCAUCUGCAUUUGACAGUGAGGAUGCCCAUUGACAGGAAGCAGACGUAGAGAAAAGGAGAAUCAGAAUGAUCGACAGGCUUCAAAUCCUACCUCUAACACUUAACUACAUUCCGCACGUUUGGUCUCGGGCAGGCCAGUUAACUCAUCAAGACCCCAUUUUCACCCCCCUGAAAAGUGGCAUAGUAACUCAGUUCUAUUGAGUUACUGAGGACUGGCCCACAAAGAGACACGCAAUGCCAGGAUAAGCCCCCCUACAAAGUGGGUAACAGAAGAUGACCUUGAACUCCUGACAUCCCAAUUUCUACCUCCUGGGCGCUGGGACUGUAGGUGGCCUAAUUGUUUCUAAAGUUGAAUGGAUCUGAAGUUCCUGAACUUGUGUGCAAGCGUUUGACAGAGGCUGAUGAAAGAUUCCUGUCACUGUGUGUGUGCCGAAGUUCUCUGGAACUGGGACCGGUGAUAUUGAUCUGACCCUCUGCAGUGUUCCGAGGGCUUGCUUACCCACUCCAAGUCUGUGAGUCCUAAUGAAGCAGAGCUAAGUCCGCUGAAGACCACCUUUGGGAGAUCCUGGAGUGGCUGCUCCCUGAAGAGAGUCCUGGUCCUAGGAAUCUGGGAUUCUACCUGAAGUCCCAAAGAUGAACAAAUGGUAGAGAGGCACCUGACUGAGCCUGCUUCCUAACCGACUUCUCAGAACUGCCUGACGCUGGGCUGCCUAACAGAAGCUCAAGUUCUGGGAUUCCACCCUUGAAGAGAAAUGAAUCUGCACUUAACUUAGUGAGCCCUGUAGGUCAGGACAUGUAGUUCUUGCUACCCUGAAGCUCACUAUGUACGACAGACUGGCCCCAACACACUGAGAUCUGCGUGGUUCUGUCUCCCCGGUGCUGAGAUCAAAGGCACGUGUAUAGUUAGGGUACAGGACUUUUACUUAUAUGUUAUGGCUCUAGGUUUGUUUUCAUGGGAUUCCUGAUUGUGCCAGCAAUUGGGUCUCUGUGUCUACAUCUGUUUCUUUUGCCUUUUCUUUGACUCCCUCUCUUUUGUUUGUUUCGUUUGCCCUAUUCUGAUGUGUUAGUUUUUGUUUUAUCUUAUUAUAUUUUAUUAUUAUUCAUCAAGUGCCCUUCUGUUUUCUGAAGAGAAACAGAAAGGUGGUGAAUUUGCAUGGGGUGGGAGGCAUAGGAGAACUGGGAGGAGUAAAGAGAGAAGAGAUCAUAAUCAGGAUAUAUUGUAUGAAAAACAGACUAUUUUCAACAAAACUACAACAAAAAAUGAAGAACAAAAAUAAUCAGUCUACCUUAUCUUCCCAGAAGAAGGAAGAGUAACCUUGAACUUAUGGUUCUCUCUGCCUAAGCUUCAUGAGUGUUAGUAGUGUGGGAUUGCACCAUGAGGAAGAUACUGUGGUGGGAUAGAACAGAUUGUGACAGAAAACUAAAAAUUCUCAACUAGAAGAAUUAGAAAGAAAGCAAGAAAGCAAGG